rnacentral:lncRNA from 1 species
CAGGCCUCCAUGUUGCAUUCUGAUCAGCAGGAGCAUUUCACAGUCCCAGGUAUAAGCUCUCUUUGGACAGGCCCAUGGCACUGAGUCAGCACUGAGCUGGGGUACUUCAUCUACUCUGUUUCGUUUACAUCUUGUUCCAAUCCCAAAGAGUAGGUCUUAGGAAUGAUGUCUACUGGACAAAGAAGAAUGAAGCUCAGAGAGGUUAAGUAACUUGCCCUUUUUUUUUUGAGACAGGAUCUCAUUUUGUCACCCAAGCUAGAGUGCAGUGGCAUGAGCACAGCUAACUGCAGCCUCAACCUCCCCGGGUUCAAGUGAUGCUCCAACCUCAGCCUCCCCCGAGUAUCUGGGACUACUAGCAUACGCCACCACACCUAGCUAAUUUUUUUGUAUUUCGUAGAGAUGGUGUCUUGCUAUGUUGCCCAGGUUGGUCCCAAGCUCCUGCACUCAAGCAGUCCUUCCACCUUGGCCUCCCAAA